rnacentral:tRNA from 2 species
UGCGAGAUAGAGUAUUUGGUAACUCGGCAGAUUCAUUCUCUGUGUCAUAUGUUGGUUCAAAUCCAACUCUCGCUA